UACUGAACAGGGACCUUACAAGCUUUCCAAAUUUAUGUUCAAAUAUUGAAUCCUGCGGAAGAGGAUACACGUUUUGGUGUUUAUUCUUCUUGAUUAUAGACGGUUUUGUGUUUCUUUGUUGUUUAUAAAGAACUACUUUUUAGUGAGACACGUUCUGAAUUGCCCUCUUAGUCCUAGACUGUUUACUUUUGUCUGUUCAUGAUCUAAAUGUGACUAUGCAGUUUUCUUUUUUUACUAAUUUAUAGCUAAGUGUGCAGUAAAAAAAAAUACACAACAAUGGAAGAAUUGAAUUUCCUAGGAGUCAUUUGUUAGUAGGCCACUUUAUGACUUAGGGACAUCCGGGCACUGAUAUAUAUUUAUAUAUCCAAUAACCUUUGUGUGUUACUGCAAAACCUCCAGGCUGGUAAGAGCCGGGAUUCCUUCAUGAAGGCCACCACAGCCCAGGGAAGUCUCCAUGGCGCUUCCAACGGUAGCAGCCAGUUGAAAAAUUGAGCAGAAAAAGAUUUCUUUACAAAUUCCAUUUUUCCCUUCUGUGGGUAGGGAUACUCCUCUCCCUUCCUAGAUUUUUCGCCUAAAAAAGAGAGAGAGAGACAGAGGCAGAGAAAAGAAAAACAUAUAAACAGUAAACUCAGCCUUUUUCAUAGUAUGAAUUUUAGAGAGGCUAUUUGUAUAGUUGCUUAUUUUUAAAUUGAAUCACUUUUCAUUGACCUCAUACUCCCUUAGGGAGCUUUUGAUGCUAUUUUGGUGAUUAUUGUAUUUCCAGUUCUAGCCCAUUUCUGGAACUUAGAACUAUUAAAAUUUUUUAGUGUCCAAUAGGUGCAUUAACUGAAUAUGUGGAUUUUUGCAAGACAGUGUUUUUCGGGUUUCUUUUAAUUAGCAAUAAUCGUGCCUCGGAUAAACCUCAUUGGCUAUGAUACUACCACUGCGCAAAGCUUCAGUUUAAUUUUUUAAAGCCAUUUCUGUAC